AUGCUAGACUUCGACUCCGAAGACAUCGACGGUAUGGACGACGAUGCCGGAGACGACCAAGAACCAGCGCCUACUAGGCACUGGAAAGCCACCUCAUCAUAUGACAUAUACAUGGUGGAUAUCCCAAAGGAUGGGAAUGGCGAAGGAACAACGGAGGAUGACCCCUCCAAGAAACAGCCCAAGUGCCGGUGUCAGCGACGCCGCUCUAAAUCCCGCCACAGCAAGAAUGGAGAUUCCGGCACCGGAGAUAAUAACACCCCAGACAGUGCCGAAGACAACCCCUUCCAGCAAGAUUUAGCGCAGGAGGACGGAGACGCUAGCCCUCAUGAGAAGGCAGCAGACUAA
rnacentral:rRNA from 1 species